rnacentral:lncRNA from 1 species
AUGACAUUGUUGCUAUUUUUGCAAAGAACAAACUAUGCUUACAACAAAUCUUUAUUCAAAUUGUCUGUAUAUAUCUCAUUCUUAAUGCUGCAGUCAACGAAGAAAAUCUGGAUUUCAUUGUGCCAAGAGAUGGGGUCUCACUAUGUUACCUGCUACCAAGACUGGUCUUCAGGGUCUCGAAUGACCCUCCUGCCUUCGCUUCCCAAAAUUUUGGGAUUACAGAUAAGAGAGCUCAGUGAUAUGAAAGGUGCUCAAUAUCUGGCACAUAGAAGAUGCUCAGUAAAUGGUGAAUAUUCUUAUGUGGAUUUCAAAAAAAACAAACAAACAAACAAAAAAGAAUGGAGUUUGGAGGACUAGAAGUUGCUCUGG